UGCGUAACGCGUGGGAAUCUGCCCUUUGCUUCGGAAUAACAGUUAGAAAUGACUGCUAAUACCGGAUGAUGUCGCAAGACCAAAGAUUUAUCGGCAAAGGAUGAGCCCGCGUAGGAUUAGCUUGUUGGUGAGGUAAAAGCUCACCAAGGCGACGAUCCUUAGCUGGUCUGAGAGGAUGAUCAGCCACACUGGGACUGAGACACGGCCCAG
rnacentral:rRNA from 1 species